CAAGCAUUGAGCAACAAACUCUUCCAAAGCUAGCAAGCUGAAUAGAACACAAGCAGACACGAAGGCCUCCAGGACUGAGCAUGGAGGCGAAGGCACAAAGUGGAUUUGUGCCUCCAAUGCGAGGGUCUUCCGACCAGCCGAAUGAUCGACCAUAUGCUCCGGCGGAAGCUAGCCAAAAGGCGCCGUCGCCUAGCAGAGCUAAAGCAUCGUCGACAGGAACAACCCCUGAGCCCAGCAACGGCAACAACUCAUCGAGAACGCCAUACAAAGCAGAGUAAAACGACCUCACAAAAAGGCAAGGGCAUAUCUAGGGGGUGAAUGGUCUGCGUGCGGAAGAAGAAUCAUGUGAAUAAAUAUCAGUUUGUCCUAGUUAUCUAUCAAGUACGAUAUUUUGUGGUCCAAGAAACCUCUAUACCUACAUAUGGGUAAUGGAUUGUAUAGCUUGUGAAAGUGGUCGUGUAGACAAGUAGUAUUUCAUUUGUUCAUGCAUGUUCUUCAUUUAUAUCUAUACCUUAGUUAUGUUGGUGAAUUUGUACGGUGGGUCAUAUAUAUUUAUAUAUAAUGUAAUUGUAUCGGUCUCGGUUUGUAUAUGUUUUCGCCCGAUUUUUCGUUAAUUAACUGGGCAAUUCUUAUUCGCCAAAAAAAACCCGGGCAAUUCUCUUCUGUUUAAUUAAUCGAUGAGGCAAUUUUUUGCCUCCGUUUUAAAUAAACAAUACUGGAAUUGUAUAUUGAAUUUUUUUGCAUCAAGUAUAUUGAAUUCGUUGUACUAAUAGAUGCUUCAUGGGGCAUUAUUAUGUACUGCUAUUCAUGACAUGCAUGUUUACGACCUUCAGCUCACGAACCUAUCAUUGGAUUCUUCUUUGUACUUGGCAUACUCCGGUCUUCAAAUCAUCUAAACUGAUGACCAAACAAACUAGAGUACCCGCAAAAAAUAAAUUAGAGUACGGCAAGGUAGCACGUACUACCAGCUAACCAGCUCUACACCUCAUCGACGAGUUCAGGAAAAUCAAGGAAAGGACGAUACGCCGUUGCGUUGGUCCCCAUGCGUAGAGAGAGACAACGCUCAAGAAGGAUCGAACAAAGAUACUUUCCUACUCCUGGAAAUUUCGGUCCUGGAAAUUUUGGUGUGGUAGUUACAGAUGAGAUGACAUCGUCGACAUCUAUCUGUGGCCACGAAGGUUGAUUAUCUCCUAGUAGCUACAACGUUUGAACAUUCUAGAUAGCUCCUCGACAUCCAGCGGUCGACCGAUCAUCUCCGCCCGGCUGCCACUCUAGUACCUAUCCACCUUCGGAAUUAUGUGUCUUGCAACUAUAUUCAAAAUACAUAAACAUAUUA